rnacentral:rRNA from 1 species
CGGACGGGUGAGUAAUGUCUGGGAAACUGCCCGAUGGAGGGGGAUAACCACUGGAAACGGUAGCUAAUACCGCAUAACGUCGCAAGGCCAAAGAGGGGGACCUUCGGGCCUCUUGCCAUCGGAUGUGCCCAGAUGGGAUUAGCUAGUGGGUGGGGUAACGGCUCACCUAGGCGACGAUCCCUAGCUGGUCUGAGAGGAUGACCAGCCACACUGGGACUGAGACACGGUCCAG